rnacentral:lncRNA from 1 species
GUGCCAGUUUGUAGGAAAGUAAUAGGAAUUUACUUUUUUUCUCAUUUUGAGUGACUGCGUUUUUUUAUUUUGAGGAAAAUGGAACAGACUGUAGAUGAUAUCAAUCUUCUCAAUCUCUCGUCCUUUUUUUUUUUUUUUUGAGGAAGAUUAGCCCUGAGCUAAUAUCCAGCGCCAAUCCUUCUCUUUUUGCUGAGGAAGUUUGGCACUGAGCUAACAUCUGUGCCCAUCUUCCUCUAUUUUAUAUGUAGGACACCGCCACAGCAUGGCUUGAUGAGUGGUGCAUAGGUCCCUCCCUGGGAUCCAAACCGGCGGACCUUGGGCUGCCAAAGUGGAGCGCAGGAACCUAACAGCUUCGCUACCUGGCAGCCCUGGCUCAUUUCAUUUUUGAUGGGUGAAGAGAGAGCUAUGAUGAAGACAAUUUUAUUCAUGGACAAAUGCCCAAUGGAGGGGAUCUUAUAAUCACAACACCCAUUAUCAUAAUCACCAAAUGCAUACAACGUCUAAGUGCAAUUAAUGGAAGAUGGGACCAUAUGGACGUCUGUUACAGUGUCGUGGAUGCUGAUAACAACCUUCUCAAUUAG